rnacentral:rRNA from 1 species
AUUGAACGCUGGCGGCAGGCCUAACACAUGCAAGUCGAGCGGUAGCACAAGGGAGCUUGCUCCCGGGUGACGCGCGGCGGACGGGUGAGUAAUGUCUGGGAAACUGCCUGAUGGAGGGGGAUAACUACUGGAAACGGUAGCUAAUACCGCAUAACGUAGAAAGACCAAAGUGGGUGACCUUCGGGCCUCACGCCAUCGGAUGUGCCCAGCUGGGAUUAGCUAGUAGGUGGGGUAACGGCCCACCUAGGCGACGAUCCCUAGCUGGUCUGAGAGGAUGACCAGCCACCAUGGAACUGAGACACGGUCCAGACUCCUACGGGAGGCAGCAGUGGGGAAUAUUGCACAAUGGGCGCAAGCCUGAUGCAGCCAUGCCGCGUGUGUGAAGAAGGCCUUCGGGUUGUAAAGCACUUUCAGCGAGGAGGAAGGCGUUAAGGUUAAUAACCUUGACGAUUGACGUUACUCGCAGAAGAAGCACCGGCUAACUCCGUGCCAGCCGCCGCUGUAA